GAUGAACGCUGGCGGCGUGCUUAACACAUGCAAGUCGAACGGUGAAGCAGAGCUUGCUCUGUGGCUCAGUGGCGAACGGGUGAGUAACACGUUAGCAAUCUGCCCCUGACUCUGGGAUAAGCGCUGGAAACGGCGUCUAUUACUGGAUAUGAGCUGCGACCGCAUGGUCAGCGGCUGGAAAGAUUUUUCGGUCUGGGAUGGUAUCACGGCGUCUCAGCUUGUUGCUGUGGUUAGGGCUCACCAAGGCGUCGCCGGGUAGCCGGCCUGAGAGGGUGACCGGGAACACUGGGACUGAGACAGGGCCCAGACUCAUACGGGAGGCAGCGGUGGGAAAGGGUGCACAAGGGGCGAAAGCCAGAUGCAGCAACGCCGCGGGAGGGAUGGCGGCGUUCGGGUUGUAAUCCUAUUUUAGCAGGGAAGAAGAGAAAGUGACGGUACCUGCAGAAAAAGCGCCGGCUAACUACGUG
rnacentral:rRNA from 1 species